rnacentral:rRNA from 1 species
AUUGAACGCUGGCGGCAUGCUUUACACAUGCAAGUCGAACGGCAGCGCGGGCUUCGGCCUGGCGGCGAGUGGCGAACGGGUGAGUAAUACAUCGGAACGUGCCCAGUUGUGGGGUCUAGCUCGGCGACAGCCGGAUUAAUACCGCAUACGCCCUGAGGGUGAAAGCGGGGGAUCUUCGGACCUCCCGCUCUUGCAGCGGCCGAUGGCAGAUUAGCUAGUUGGUGGGGUAAAGGCCUACCAAGGCGACGAUCGGUAGCUGGUCUGAGAGGACGACCAGCCACACUGGGACGGAGACACGGCCCAGACUCCUACGGGAGGCAGCAGGGGGGAAUUUUGGACAAUGGGCGAAAGCCUGAACCAGCAAUGCCGCGUGUGUGAUGAAGGGCUUCGGGUUGUAAAGCACUUUUGGCGGGAAAGAAAAGGACUGUGCCAAUACCACGGUUGGAUGACGGUACCCGCAGAAUAAGCACCGGCUAACUACGUG